rnacentral:tRNA from 1 species
UCUCUGAUGGUCCAGAGGCUAAGACUCUGCCCUUCCAGUGCAGGAGGCUCAGGUUCAAUCCCUGGUCGGGGAA